rnacentral:misc_RNA from 1 species
GAUGAAGAACGCAGCGAAAUGCGAUAAGUAAUGUGAAUUGGAGAAUUCAGUGAAUCAUCGAGUCUUUGAACGCACAUUGCGCCCCCUGGUAUUCCGGGGGGCAUGCCUGUCCGAGCGUCAUUGCCGCCCUCAAGCACGGCUUGUGUGUUGGGCCCCCGCCCCCCGGCUUCGGGGGGCGGGCCCGAAAGGCAGCGGCGGCACCGCGUCCGGUCCUCGAGCGUAUGGGGCUUCGUCACCCGCUCUGUAGGCCCGGCCGGCGCCCGCCGGCGACCCCAAUCAAUCUUUCCAGGUUGACCUCGGAUCAGGUAGGGAUACCCGCUGAACUUAAGCAUAUCAAUAAGCGGAGGA